UUCUUUAUCAAGGUAGGAACGAGAAGACAGAUGUCGUGGUGAGGUUAAAUGUGUUUUUCAGAGCUGGUGAAGAAGGGAAUAAGUUGCCUUGGAAAAAUGUGAAUUUCCCACCGACCACCUGGAAGGAAUGCUAAAGAUUCAAGAAUCCAUCUCUCUGCAAGAGAGCACGACUUCAUUCUAGCUGCCACAGUCAGUGACUCCCCAGAUUAGGCAAAUGCUGGAGGCUCGCCUGUCCGAGGUGUAGGAGGAGGAAGGCGCAAACACUGUUGGCUGCCACCAGGCACCAGAACCAGCCAUGAGCCUGAUAGAUUAAGGACAAUAACCAACACGUGUUGACCCUUCCACACAUGCCACGCACUGAACAAUGCACGUGUGCAACCUGGCCCACGGCCACACAGCUGGCCAACAGAACACCAGGCCCCAGUCCCACUGACCCUGAAGGUCAUGCAUUAGCCUGCUUUCUCCUUUCUCCUUGGUGGGCAUGGGGUCACACCACGAAGUCCUCCCACAUCUCGAUGGGACCACAUUACCUGACUAUUGUAAAGUGACGCUAAUGGUCCUGCCUUUUCUUGAUUAAAGUGAGGUCUGUUAGGAUGUUUCUGCUCUUGAGAAAGUACAUUUCAGAGGUUCAGACUAAUCCUCAAGUUUAAAAAAAAAAAAAAAAACUGUGGAGACUGGCAAGCGUUACAGAACAGGGACUCACCCGAGGAAACCUGAAUAGCUCAUGACAAGCUGCGUCACAGCGCACCACUAAUUAAGAAUGCUCAGAUAGCAGCUUGGGCCUCAGGGGGCCACUGCAGCAAGAACCAUGGCAUCCCUCUGAGCCUGAACAAGCACUUUGUCAUUAACCUGAUGUAUAAUUAACACGAGCAAAAAAUGUGUCUCCUCCCUUUGUCAAGAAAGCCCUGGGGUGCACCCCAGGCCCACAGAGAAUAUGCUUCCUGUAAUGGUCUCACUUUCGUUUUGACCCAGAGCCCAUUUUCAGACAUUGUCCUGAAGUUGGAUGAGCUCCCCAGACCUCCUGCCAACAGCCAGCUGACAUGCUGCUCGGGGAGCCUGAGAGAAGAACUGCUCUUCUGCAGCAUCCAGCCCCUGCAUUGUAACCAGCUGCGUCAGCCCAAUGGGCAGGAACCAGGGCCUGCAGCUUGCCCACCUGGAGAAGCACCAGGUUCAAGGACGCAGCCAAGUCUCCUCCUCAGGCCUUUGGCCUCUCCCACUUGUGCUGCUAUUGUCUUGGAAUUCGAAGAAUGCAAAUCCUCCACGUCUGCAGCAGGUCUACAUCGAAGGGCACAUGAUGGGGCAGCUUCUCCCCUGCAUUAGCUCAAGUCACUGCAGUGACCCAAGAACAGCUCUGGCAGCCUAUCUGUCUUGUCACCUCUGCAGAGGCAGACAUCUGCUGUCCCUUCCCAGGGCUCCAUCACGCUCAGCUCUUACCCCACGACUGCCUCCAUGUUUGCCACUCUCUGGGACUUGAGUUAAAAACUCCCUGGAAAAAAGUUUCAAUUUGUCAGCUACUCAUCUCCCAACAAGAAGGGACUACUGGCCAGAGCUCUUGAGCCAUUUUGCUGGAAAAGUCAUCACUUGCCUAUAUCCUGAUUCUUUUUUUUUUUUGAACUGCCAAACCACACGUCCACUGCUCUCCUCCCCACUGUAAAGUACUCAGUGUGCAUCUUUUUGUUCGUGUUCUUGCAAAAUGAAUACUAUGCAUAUUUUCACAUAUUAAGUGCAUGCCAUAGC
rnacentral:lncRNA from 1 species